rnacentral:ncRNA from 1 species
CGAAUGAAGAGUUUGAUCCUGGCUCAGGAUGAACGCUAGCUACAGGCUUAACACAUGCGAAGUCGAGGGGCAGCAUGAACUUAGCUUGCUAAGUUUGAUGGCGACCGGCGCACGGGUGAGUAACACGUAUCCAACCUUCCGUUUACUCAGGGAUAGCCUUUCGAAAGAAAGAUUAAUACCUGAUAGUAUGGUGAGAUUGCAUGAUGGCACCAUUAAAGAUUUAUUGGU